rnacentral:lncRNA from 1 species
CUGGUGCUGCUGGCGGGGUCGUUCCUCCGAGCUUGCCCUCCGCAGCGCGGGGAGGUUUCCCGACCCCAAGACUCGCUGGACGGACUUAGAGGACCGCUCCCUUACGCCUUCAGAAGCUGGAGUCAGCCAGUCACAGCAGCCAGCUGCCCUUUCAGGAGCUCCAGCAGUGCCGAGGAGGCAGCGCGAGCAGCAGCUGUCCCCGCCGGAGAUUUCGUCCAGAGGGAGUCAGGUCAGCGCGUCCCUUCCUCCGCCUUCCCGGCUCUGCGCGCCGCGGCUCCGGAGGCCCGGCGGCCGUGGGCCGGACACCCCAGCCACCGACACGCCCUCUGACGGGGGCAGGCGGGAUGGCUGUUGCGCUGGCGCUGGUGGAGGGCCUCGCACCGGGCGGCUCGGGUGGCACCACCCCACCCGUCCCCGUAACGCCGCCCUGCAGGGCGCCGGCCCAGGU